rnacentral:rRNA from 1 species
GACGAACGCUGGCGGCGUGCUUAACACAUGCAAGUCGAACGGAAAGGCCUCUUUCGGGGGGUACUCGAGUGGCGAACGGGUGAGUAACACGUGAGUAACCUGCCCUUGACUUUGGGAUAACUUCAGGAAACUGGGGCUAAUACCGGAUAGGAGCUCCUGCUGCAUGGUGGGGGUUGGAAAGUUUCGGCGGUUGGGGAUGGACUCGCGGCUUAUCAGCUUGUUGGUGGGGUAGUGGCUUACCAAGGCUUCGACGGGUAGCCGGCCUGAGAGGGUGACCGGCCACAUUGGGACUGAGAUACGGCCCAGACUCCUACGGGAGGCAGCAGUGGGGAAUAUUGCACAAUGGGUGGAAGCCUGAUGCAGCAACGCCGUGUGCGGGAUGACGGCCUUCGGGUUGUAAACCGCUUUCGCUCAUGACGAAGCUUUGUGUGACGGUAGUGGGUAAGAAGCACCGGCUAACUACGUG